GAUGAACGCUGGCGGUGUGCCUAAUACAUGCAAGUCGAGCGAACAGACGAGGAGCUUACUCCUCUGACGUUAGCGGCGGACGGGUGAGUAACACGUGGAUAACCUACCUAUAAGACUGGGAUAACUUCGGGAAACCGGAGCUAAUACCGGAUAACAUGUUGAACCGCAUGGUUCAACAGUGAAAGACGGUCUUGCUGUCACUUAUAGAUGGAUCCGCGUCGCAUUAGCUAGUUGGUAAGGUAACGGCUUACCAAGGCAACGAUGCGUAGCCGACCUGAGAGGGUGAUAGGCCACACUGGAACUGAGCCACGGUCCAGAGUCCUACGGGAGGCAGCAGUAGGGAAUGUUCCGCAAUGGUGGAAAGCCUGACGGAGCAACGGCGAGUGAGUGAAGAAGGUCUUCGGAUCGUAAAACUCUGUUAUUAGGGAAGAACAACUGUCUCAGUAACUAUGCACGUAUUGACGGUAACUAAUCAGAAAGCCACGGCUAACUACGUG
rnacentral:rRNA from 1 species